UACGUAGGGUGCGAGCGUUAAUCGGAAUUACUGGGCGUAAAGUGUGCGCAGGCGGCUGAGCAAGUCGAGUGUGAAAGCCCCGGGCCUUAACUUGGGAAUUGCGCUCGAAACUACUUGGCUGGAGUGUGGCAGAGGAAGGUGGAAUUCCGACGUGUAGCGGUGAAAUGCGUGAGAUAUCAGGAGGAACACCUGUGGUGUAGACAGCUUACUGGACCACUUCUGACGCUGAGACACGAAAGCGUGGGUAGCAAACAGG
rnacentral:rRNA from 1 species